AUGGAUUUCGUGUGGGCGGUUGUGGCGGCGGCGGCGGCGGUGUUGGCGUGGUGGGCGCUGAGUGCGCUGGUGUGGAGGCCGCGCGCCAUCGCCCGGCAGCUCCGCGCCCAGGGCGUGGGCGGGCCGGGCUACAGGUUCCUGGCCGGGAACCUCGGCGAGAUCAAGCGUCUCCGCGCCGCCAUCGCCGGCGCCGCGCUGGACGUCGGUUCCCACGACCUGGUGCCCAUGGUGCAGCCGCAUAUGCGCAAAUGGAUCCCACUCCACGGACGCACGUUCUUGUACUGGUUCGGAGCACGGCCGACCCUGUGCGUGGCCGACGUGAGCAUGGUGAGCCAGGUGCUCCUGGAGCGCACCGGGCUGUACCCCAAGAACACCGGGAACCCGCACAUCGCCCGCCUGCUCGGCAGGGGGCUCGUGUUCGCCGACGGCGACGAGUGGAAGCGCCACCGCAAGGUCGUCCACCCCGCCUUCAACAUGGACAAGCUCAAGGUGAUGACGGCGACCAUGUCGGACUGUGCCGGGUCAAUCAUGUCGGAGUGGAAAGCGAAGGUGGGCGAGGGAGGCGGCGCGGCGGAGAUCGAGCUGAGCGGCCAGUUCGAGGAGCUAACCGCGGAUGUCAUUUCCCACACGGCCUUCGGAGCUAGCUACAGAGAGGGGAAGCGAGUCUUCCUGGCGCAGAGGGAGCUCCUGUUCCUUGCCUUCUCCACCGUUUUCAAUGUCCAAAUCCGGGCAUUUAGGUACCUGCCAACCCAAAAGAACCUCAAGAUAUGGAAGCUCGACAAGGAGGUGAGGGGCAUGCUCACCAACAUCAUCAAGAGUCGGCUCGCAGACAAGGACACCAUGGGCUAUGGGAACGACCUGCUCGGGCUGAUGUUGGAGGCGUGCACUCCGGAGGAGCACGGUCAUGAGCCGCUUCUAAGCAUGGACGAGAUCAUAGACGAGUGUAAGACCUUCUUCUUCGCUGGACACGACACUAGCUCACACAUGCUUUCAUGGACCAUGUUGUUGUUGAGCACACAUCCAGAAUGGGAGCAGAAGCUCAGGGAGGAGGUGGUGAGAGAGUGCGGCAAUGAGGUUCCCACCGGUGACGUGCUCAACAAACUGAAGCUAGUCAACAUGUUCCUUCUAGAAACUCUUAGGUUAUACUCUCCUUUGUCGACCAUUCAGAGAAAGGCAGGUUUGGAUCUUGAGGUCGGUGGCAUCACAGUGCCCAAAGGCACGGUCCUGACCAUCCCCAUUGCGUCGAUACACCGUGACAAGGAGGUAUGGGGAGAGGAUGCCCAUGAGUUCAAUCCUCUCAGGUUUGAAAACGGAGUGACACGGGCAGCAAAUCAUCCUAAUGCAUUCUUGUCUUUCUCCGAUGGGCCAAGGUCGUGCAUUGGGCAGAACUUUGCGAUGAUCGAGGCCAAGAUUGUGAUCGUCAUGAUUCUUCAGAGGUUCUCCUUCUUCCUAUCCCCUAAGUAUGUCCAUGCCCCCAUGGACGUGAUCACACUACGAUCAAAGUUUGGUCUUCCCAUGGUUCUCAAGAGCCUAGAGAUGUAG
rnacentral:rRNA from 1 species